GGAGCCGUUGUAGAAGCAGAUGGUUUGGAGUCUGGAGAAAACAAAAUGUUUUAAUGGAAAUCAAUAUUUAAACUUAUUUCAACUUAAAAUAUCUCUAAUUUCUUUGGCUUUAGACUUCAGAGCUGCAUUCAUCAGUAUGUCAUCGUUAUGCAGACGCCAGUCAUACUCCACAUGCACAUGGACGUUGAACUUCCCUGUUUGCGCCUGAGUCAGCUGUUGAUCACACAACACAGAAGAACAUACUGGAGGGUAUACAUACUGGAGAACACAAUCUCAGGCAAGAAGAGGAAAUAACUUGCCCUCAAGAAAAGAAGAGAGCAAAAAGCAGCACUUCAGGAUUUCUGCAUGCAUUAAAGAUAACACAUAUACGCACCAGCUCCUCGCAUUUUUUGUGUCUAAGACGCUGUGCCAGAUCCAGAGGAGUCUCUCCUGCAUCAUUAGCUGCAAGAAAAACAGAGAUGGCCAAAAGAGAGAAAAAAAAAUCAGUAGUUUAUAUGAAAUACUACUAAUAAAUGAGCAAUUUCGCUUGAUUUAUAAAAUAAAAAUGCAGAAUGCCUAAUUUUUUCAUUAAAAAUUAUUUAGUUUUUUUUGUGUAGCUUGUAUUCUUGAGGUUAAAGCAGCAAAUUAUAUGAACUCUUACUAAAGGUGACAGAUGCUUUUCCCCGCAGUAGCAGCUUCAUACAUUCACUAUUGUCAGUCGAGCAGCAGUAGUGCAGUGCUGUGCUUCCUUUGGCAGUCUGCUUGUCUAAAUUCCCACUGCACGCACACACAUAUGAACAUGUAAAAUGUCUGAAUAAUAUGUCAAAUCUUUUUUUUAGCCAAAAUAUAGAACAUGAGUGGAGUACCUGUUCUGUACAAGGAAGUCCACAAUAUGGAGAGAGUUCCGGUCCACCAUUCGUACUGCAAAAUGUAGCGCUGUCUCACCUGGUUCCUGUCAGUGAAAAGCAAAGAUAUUUGUGUGCGGCCCAUGAGGACAAUUCAAUAGGAAAUUAAAAUGCAUAAUGACUUCACCCUACAACCCAUUGUCAUGGUUAUGAACUUCUCUGUUGUUAUACAUUCAGUUCUUGUUCUCCUGCCCCGUUUAGUUCUGAUCAGCUCCUCAUUAGUUUCCUUGGUUACCUUUUACUCUCAGGUGUUUCAUUAGCCCCAUUAUGUGUCCUUUGUGCUUUGUUCAGUUCCUUUGCCAGUUAUUUGUUAUGCCUACAUUUGUGUUUGUGCUACCCCUGCCUUGUUUGCUCUUGGAUUUAUAAUUAAAAGACUCUUGUUGAAUUCC